AAAUUGAAGAGUUUGAUCAUGGCUCAGAUUGAACGCUGGCGGCAGGCCUAACACAUGCAAGUCGAACGGUAGCACAGAGAGCUUGCUCUCGGGUGACGAGUGGCGGACGGGUGAGUAAUGUCUGGGAAACUGCCUGAUGGAGGGGGAUAACUACUGGAAACGGUGGCUAAUACCGCAUAACGUCGCAAGACCAAAGAGGGGGACCUUCGGGCCUCUUGCCAUCAGAUGUGCCCAGAUGGGAUUAGCUGGUUGGUGAGGUAACGGCUCACCAAGGCGACGAUCCCUAGCUGGUCUGAGAGGAUGACCAGCCACACUGGAACUGAGACACGGUCCAGACUCCUACGGGAGGCAG
rnacentral:rRNA from 2 species